rnacentral:rRNA from 1 species
GACGAACGCUGGCGGCGUGCUUAACACAUGCAAGUCGAACGAUGAAGCCGGAGCUUGCUCUGGUGAAUUAGUGGCGAACAGGUGAGUAACUCGUGAGUAACCUGCCCUUGACUCUGGGAUAACUGCGGGAAACUGUAGCUAAUACCGGAUACGACCCUCGGCGGCAUCGCCAGGGGGUGGAAAGAAUUUCGGUCAAGGAUGGACUCGCGGCCUAUCAGCUAGUUGGUGAGGUAACGGCUCACCAAGGCGACGACGGGUAGCCGGCCUGAGAGGGUGACCGGCCACAGUGGGACUGAGAUACGGCCCAGAUUCCUACGGGAGGCAGCAGUGGGGAAUAUUGCACAAUGGGCGCAAGCCUGAUGCAGCGACGCCGCGUGAGGGGUGACGGCCUUCGGGUUGUAAACCUCUUUCAGCACCGACGAAGCGCAAGUGACGGUAGGUGCAGAAGAAGGACCGGCCAACUACGUGCCAGCCGCCGCCGUAA